GACGAACGCUGGCGGCGUGCUUAACACGUGCAAGUCGAACGGUGAAAGCGGAGCUUGCUCCGCUGGAUCAGUGGCGAACGGGUGAGUAACACGUGGGCAACCUGCCCCUGACUUCGGGAUAACUCCUCGAAAGAGGUGCUAAUACCGGAUACGAAUCCUGCAGGCAUCUGCGGGAUUGGAAAGUUUUUCGGUCGAGGGAUGGGCCCGCGGCCUAUCAGCUUGUUGGUGAGGUAGUGGCUCACCAAGGCGACGACGGGUAGCCGGCCUGAGAGGGCGGCCGGCCCCACGGGGACUGAGACACGACCCGUCCUCCUACGGGGGGAAGCAGGGGGGAUUAUUGCGCAAGGGGCGAAGGCCUGAUGCAGCAACACCGCGUGAGUGAUGACGGCCUUCGGGUUGUAAACCUCUUUCAGCAGGGAAGAAGCGAAAUUGACGGUACCUGAAGAAGAAGCACCGGCUAACUACGUGCCAGCCGCCGCCGUAA
rnacentral:rRNA from 1 species